GAGCCAAAAACUGCUUUCAGGGCCAGAGUGACUCGGCUGAGAUCAGAAAGAACCAGGUGGCAGUAAAAGCAUCUCAGGUGAAAGCUGCCCAGAGGAAGGUUGCUGAGACGUUUCUGCAUAAGAUCAGGCCGGGGGAUUACGUGGUAAUUCGUGACCUGAGGAGGAAGAACUGGAGGGUGAAACGGUGGCGAGGGCCACUCCAAGUUUUUGCUGAUAACACACACAGGGGUGAAGGUCGGAGAGAGAGCUACGUGGGUGCACGCCAGCCACUGCAGGAGAGAUCCGCCCAUAUCGGAAGGGCAACAGGAGGAGGAGCCUCAGCAACAACAACAACAAGUUCAAUAAUAAGCCCCAAGAUCAAGCCCAAACACCAAGCACAAGAGCAAGGUCACUCAGGAGGAGUGAUAAGGCCGGUGUGCAGAGUAAAGCCAUUUCUGCAGCCACAACCAAAGACAUUGAUCAUUGCAAAGAGCUCCAAUCACUAGACAAGAUGGAUCGUUCAAGACCAUGGUACUCAUUCAGACUGCCAGGAAUGUGUGGACUUUGUGAGACUGAAUUCAUUUUGACUUUGAUAUCAGUGACUAUUUGUUUGAUAAUUUUUAUGCUUAUAAUUCAACACAUGCGAUAGGCCGUAAGAGAACCCGAGCGUACUGACAACCUGUGGGCCGGGUGGGUUAUGUCUUUGUGGGGAGGAUGGAUGUACUGGAUAAUUCAAACUGUUUUGCCAAUUGUAGUGAUAGGAAUUCUGAUUCUGUUUUGCUUGCCAUGCAUUAUGAGAUGUAUUUCCAGCUCAGUACAGAGAUUGGUUAGGGCUGGGACGCCCAUACAAGCAGUAAAACUGACCGCUUAUCCGAUAGAUAGUGAACACAAAUGUGAUGAUUAUGAGAGUGACGAGAGUGAUAACAUUAACACAGAAAUGUGAAGAAUAAUCAUGGAAUACGAAAGUCAGACAUGAGGAGUAUAACUGUUAUGAAAUGACUUGAAACAAUUAUAAUCAUGUUUGCUUAGAAUUAGAAACAAGCGUGUUUUUUUUAAGUUAUCAAAACUAAUGUUACUUAAUCCAAAUCGUUUAUCAGAGAAUGAUAAAGAGGAGGAAUUGUUGUAGAAAAAAUUUAUAUUUUACUUUUUCUUAUUUACUUUCUUAGACAUUGGGUGGGUUUUAUAUAUAUUUUUAUUUUUCCUUUUGAUUUAACUUGUGUAUUUCUAUGUAUGUCACCUGGAAUGCAACAAAGACAUCACACAGUAAAACAAAGAGCCUUUGAAGUCUUUAGUGUGGGUAAUUUAGUCAGGAAAGUCAGAGGGGUUAGCCACAAAUAAAGACCUUUAACCUCACGGGUGUGAAGACACACAAACACACAGUAUCAGAAAGAGCCUUUGAACACUUUAGUGCAGGAAAGACAGAGGGUUUGUUGACCUCAGAGAUGUGAAGAUAAUAAAGCCCAGGGGGUCAGAAGGACCAUUGUUUUUUCUGAAAACAGCUAGGUUUGGUUUACGGGGUUAAGUGGAAAUUUACAGAGAAGGAACCCUGUAAGAAGUGGGGGGGGGUGAUAGCAGUAUAAGAAGGCUGUCUGUUUUCAGUGUGAUUUUAGGUCUGUUGUGUUUCAGGGUAGCUGCUGGAACAUUGUGAACACACCUCUUUAAGGAAAAUAAAUUUCUUUCCUUAAAUAUAA